rnacentral:tRNA from 1 species
UCAUUGGUGGUUCAGUGGUAGAAUUCUUGCCUGCCACGCGGGAGAACCGGUUUCGAUUCCCGGCCAAUGCA